CUUUGUGGUCGUCAUUAAUCUAUCACUUUUAAUUAUGUGAGUUAAAUUAAAACCAAGGACCAACCCAAGAGUCUUCCUAUGUAGUCCAGGCUGGCCUGGAACUUGCAAUCUUCCUGCCUCAGGCUCCUGAGUACUGGGAUUGUAGGCAUGUGCUACCAUGCCCUGCUGAAAAAUUGGCUUCUUCUUCUUUACCUACAUCUUGCCUGAUUUGCUUUGUGGUCAUAAAUGGAAAAUGUGCUGGCCAGCUGAAUUUUAAGCAAGAACAACAAUUUUCCUAUAUGAUUUGACAUGGACCUUAAAGAGUCAUUGUGCCUAGAAAAACAAAGUUGCUGUAACUUGGGUACUGGGGGAAGAAGAGGCAGAAAGUCUGGGUCUCCUCUCCAGUUAAUGGUAAUUUUGACUUUAAAAGCUAUAAGAAAAACUGAUGCCUGGAAAAGUCAGAGGGUUACUCCAGUUCAGACAGCAGCUCAAUAGCAGAAUCAAGAACAAACCUCCCCUCUCAGCCCUCUCUGGUAUGGGUCUUUGCACAGCCCCAGCCUUGAGGGUGUGGGGAUAAUUCCUACAUCUAGGACUCAGCUGGCACGUAUAGAAAGAGAUGCUGCAUGUCAAUGCCACUGUCCUCUUCACAUUCAGAAUGGGAGCUUCUCUGACACCUCAAAUCUCCAGUGUUUAUCUAUUUUAUAUCCAAUACUCACAUUGCUGGCUUGUGAACUUGU